rnacentral:tRNA from 1 species
GGGGCUGUAGCUCAGUUGGUAGAGCACGUCGUUCGCAACGACGGGGUCAGGGGUUCGAUUCCCCUCAGCUCCA